rnacentral:misc_RNA from 1 species
GCAAACUUGGUCAUUUAGAGGAAGUAAAAGUCGUAACAAGGUUUCCGUAGGUGAACCUGCGGAAGGAUCAUUAAUGAAUUGAAUUUUGGUUGAGUUGUGCUGGUCUCUAGGGACAAGUGCACGCUUGACUUCAAUUUAUCAACCACCUGUGCACAUUUUGUAGACUUGGACAACGCUCGAGUUCAUUCUCGGAUAGAAGGAUUGACUUUGUGACCAGAGUCUUUUCGUCGAUUUCCAAGUCUAUGUCAUUAUUAUAUACACUUGAUCAAUGUAUGUCAGUUGGCCUAUUUGAUAACAAUAAUACAACUUUCAACAACGGAUCUCUUGGCUCUCGCAUCGAUGAAGAACGCAGC